rnacentral:rRNA from 1 species
GACGAACGCUGGCGGCGUGCUUAACACAUGCAAGUCGAGCGGUAAGGCCCUUUCGGGGUACGACGAGCGGCGAACGGGUAGAGUAACACGUGGGUGACCUCGCCCUCAGCUCUGGGAGUAAGCCUGGGAAACCGGGUCGUAAUACCGGAUAUGACUCCAUGACGCAUGUUGUGGGGUGGAAAGCCUUGUGCGGCUGAGGAUGGGCCCGCGGCCUAUCAGCUUGUUGGUGGGGUGAUGGCCUACCAAGGCGACGA